UGCUACUUAUUGUUAGAUUACGUUAUAUUUCAAGUCUUUACAGUGUUAUUUUUAAAUAUAGCUUUUAACUUAAUGAAAUAGUUUAUUUUAAAAAAAAUUGAGAUACUAACAAUAAAUCAUACAGAAAAUUGUCUCCGCAAACAAUCCAAAUUGAUAAAAUUUAACUAUACCAUAACCAGAGAAGGGAUGCAUGAGGCAUGACCUGGCCACAGGGUGAGCCCUGUACAAUCAAGCCAUUUUUGGGCGUGCAAUAACAAGGCAGCAACAGUCCCUUCCAGACUUAUCUUUUUACUUGCAUGCACUCCCUGGCAGGAUCAAUAGUCUAAAUCAAAUUUCUAAUGCAGAGGAUCCUCUUAAGAGCGACAAUCGAGGGGCGAGAGGCAAGGCAACUUGAGACAAGGAGGCGCAAGGCGACAAUGAUGAGGUGAAGGUGACUACGACCAUGGGAAAGGGGAAGAGAUGAGAGAGACGACGGCCACAAAAGAGAAGGAAAAGCAAUUGCAGAGAAUAUGAGUGUAAGAGGCAUUUUUGUCAUUUUGGCGUGCUUUUGUCAGCCAAUGGGUAAGCCUCAAAGGCAAAGUAGUAUGGUUCAAACUCUAGUCCCUUCAUCCAUCGCCAUUCAACAUAAGUUUAGAUAUGUUAUUUUCAUUUUUUGUC